ensembl:ncRNA T19A5.10 ncRNA
GAGGGCAUGCAGGCUUGCAAACCAGAUUUUGCGGUUUCGAUUUCGAGAUUCGCAAGUGAGAAAGAACUUGUGUGGAUGAAUGUGCGACAACGUAGGGGGCCCCCAUUCCGAAACUCUGGAUGACAUGCCACAUAUUGUCCCUUU